rnacentral:rRNA from 1 species
UACAGAGGUCCCAAGCGUUGUUCGGAUUCACUGGGCGUAAAGAGCUCGUAGGCGGUUUGUCGCGUCUGCCGUGAAAGUCCGGGGCUCAACUCCGGAUCUGCGGUGGGUACGGGCAGACUAGAGUGAUGUAGGGGAGACUGGAAUUCCUGGUGUAGCGGUGAAAUGCGCAGAUAUCAGGAAGAACACCAAUGGCGAAGGCAGCUCUCUGGAACGGUACUGACGCUGAGACGCGAAAGCGUGGGGAGCGAACAGG